ensembl:snRNA U6 U6 spliceosomal RNA
GUGUUCACUUCAGCAGCACAUAUACUAAAAUUGGAUCAAUACAGAGAUUAGCAAGGCCUGAGCAAAGAUACACACAAAUUCAUGAAGUGUUUCAUAACUUU